rnacentral:rRNA from 1 species
CGGAGGGUGCAAGCGUUAUCCGGAUUCACUGGGUUUAAAGGGUGCGUAGGCGGGCAGUUAAGUCCGUGGUGAAAUCUCUGAGCUUAACUCAGAAACUGCCAUGGAUACUAUCUGUCUUGAAUAUUGUGGAGGUUAGCGGAAUAUGUCAUGUAGCGGUGAAAUGCUUAGAUAUGACAUAGAACACCAAUUGCGAAGGCAGCUAGCUACACAGUUAUUGACGCUGAGGCACGAAAGCGUGGGGAUCAAACAGGAUUAGAUACCCUGGUAGUCCACGCCCUAAACGAUGAUUACUCGACAUCAGCGAUACACUGUUGGUGUCUGAGCGAAAGCAUUAAGUAAUCCACCUGGGAAGUACGACCGCAAGGUUG